GAAAUGUGAUACUUAAUGUGAAUUGCAGAAUACCGUGAAUCAUCGAAAUCUUGAACGCAUACUGCGCCUGAGAGUCAUCUCUUAGGCAUGCCUGUUAGAGUGUCAGUUAUCAUAUCAAUCCAGCCAAACUUCUGGCUGGGACUUUGGUGGUAAAUAGGGUUAAAUCUCUACUUUCCGCUUAAAUGCUAGUGUUUUCUAGGCCAAGCGUCUCUUGACUACCUGCUUGCCGUGAACUGUUAAUAGUAACCCUUGCAAAGUUUUUAUUACAGCCUCAGACAGUAUGGCCGGUUAGGCUUCGUUUACCUAGGAAAUGCCUUUUUUGAAAUCGAUUCUUCCAGUAGCUACGGGCUCGUUAAGGAUCACCUAACAAUUUGACCUCUAAUAGACAAGACUACCCGCUGAAUUUAAGC
rnacentral:misc_RNA from 1 species